rnacentral:lncRNA from 1 species
GCCUCCCCGGGGCCGGCUCGGGCCACUUCUUGCGCGCUGCCAGAAGGAGCUAUUUUGAGCAGUCCUUCUGACCCUCGUGGCUUCUCCUGCUCCAAGGCCAAGCUCGGGACCCUGUCAUCAUCCCCGGGGACAGGCCCCAUCUUAGAGAGGAUCCACCCAGCUCCCCGCUCCUGAGCCAUCUUCCAGCUAUCCCGCCUCGAGACUCCCACCGCACCUGCUCCUGGGCUGCAG